rnacentral:rRNA from 1 species
UACGUAGGGUGCAAGCGUUGUCCGGAAUUAUUGGGCGUAAAGGGCUCGUAGGCGGUCUGUCACGUCGGGAGUGAAAACUCAGGGCUUAACCCUGAGCCUGCUUCCGAUACGGGCAGACUAGAGGUAUGCAGGGGAGAACGGAAUUCCUGGUGUAGCGGUGAAAUGCGCAGAUAUCAGGAGGAACACCAGUGGCGAAGGCGGUGCUCUGGGCCGGAACUGACGCUGAGGAGCGAAAGCGUGGGGAGCAAACAGG